CAACAUGUGCCUUCUGUGAAGCAAUUUUACGGGAGUGCGGUUUCAAAACAGGACUUUUCACUUCUCCUCAUUUGAUCGAUGUUAGAGAAAGAUAUCGCCUUGAUGGGAUGGACAUAUGCCAGGAAAAAUUUCUGCAAUACUUUUGGGAUUGUUGGAAUCAGCUCAAGGCAAACGUCUCUGAAGACUUGCCUAUGCCUCCUCUCUUCCAGUUCCUUACCGUGUUGGCUUUUAAAAUUUUUGUGAGCGAGAAGGUGGAGAUCUAUUCCCUCUAUUUUGCUUGAUCUG